GAUUGUUGUGCUUCUUAUUAUCAAGUCUCCGUGGUUUUGUCGAAUUAUAUCAUGUUUGCUAUCAUCGAUGUGGUUUUGAUGUGGUUUUGUCGGAUUGAAGAACGCCAAUUCUGAAUAUGAUUCUUUAUGUGAUGAUGGCGAUUUUUGAAUCUUUUGAUCAAAUUCCUUUAUCCUUUUCAGCUGGUGACGGGGUCUCUGAGAUUUUUCUUCUACUUUCCUUUCUAUUAUUUGAUUUAUCUGGUAUUGAUCACGAAAAUAAGAAUUGGACUAUGAUUUGUUUAUCUGCAGUGGUGUAACACGUCUCUAUACUUCUUCCUUUUAUUAAGAGCUUAGUUCGUUUUCUUGAAUUUUUGGGUUGUACAGGGAAGACACACAAUGGAUGUGAAAUGAAGAUUAUGUUUUGUUACCCUUAACUUUUUUAUGGGUUUAUUCGUGACUGAUCAUUUGAUUUCGUAGUCUAACUUUGUGUUUAUGUUCACUCCCCUUCAGCAAUUGGAGUUUCUGAGAUUUGAAACCCUAAAAAGUUUAAAACGGUUGCAGCUCAGGAUAUCCCAAUUCUCUCUAUCUAUUGUUUAAUUUCUCUCUACUUGAUCUCCAAGGAUUGAAUUGUGUUCGACGUUUGAAUUAUUUUCCCUUAAUGUCCUGCAACAUCUCAUGGAGUAUGUUAUGAGGCCCCAAGGAUUGAAUUGGUGUUUGAAUUAUUUUCGCUUAAUGUCCUGCAGAGUAUGUUAUGAGACAUAAGGGUUGAAUUGUGAUUUGUUUCCUGUUUGGAUGAUUUGCACAGUGUCCUGCAUCUUAUAGAAUAUGAAUGACUUGGUUUUCGCACGGUUCUCGCGAGUAUGUUAUGGCCACCAUUCUUCCUUGGUUUUUUAAGUCUUCAAUUUAUCUUAUCAUUCUAUACUUCGUCCUCGAUUACCAGUUAUACUUUCUUCAAUUAUUGUUCUUUACAGGGGUGUGGGGGUAGGACAGGGAUCAAGUUCCUAUAACUAGUAAAUUCAUUUACGUGAAUUUUGAGUAUAAUUCUCUAUUUGAGUAUGAUGAGUUUUAUACCUUAUUGCUUAAAUUUCUUUUCAGCUGGUGGCUGGUUUUUUGGCAUUUCUUUUGCCUAUAGAUGAUAUGGAAAGCACACCGACCAAGGGCUCGACAUAACCUUAAGUCUUUUUUGAGUUUCCCUUAUAUUUUUUUUUAUGGUAUUACAAAAGGAUUGAACUAUGAUUUGUUUAUCUGCAGUGGUGUUUGGAUUAGUUGGGUAAUGUCACAUAUUCAACUUAUAAAGUUUCUGUAAUUAGUAAAUUCAUUUAGGUGAAUUCUGAGUACAAUUUUCUAUUUGAAGAUGACGAAUUUUAAACCUUUUGCAUAAAUUUCUUUGCACCUUUUCAGUUGGUGGCUGGUUCUCUGGCAUUUCUUUUGCCUAUGGAUGAUAUGAAAAGCACAAUAACCAAGGGGCUCGUCAUAACCUAAGUCUUUUUUGAGUUUUCCUUCUUUUUUUCUUUUUUCCUGGUAUUGUUCACAGUACAUAAGGAUUAAACUAUGGUUUGUUUAUUUGCAGUGGUGUUUGGAUUAGAUGGGUAACAACGCAUAUUCAUCGUAUCAAGUUUCUAUAACUAGUAAAUUCAUUUACGUCAAUUUUGACUAUAAUUUUCUAUUUGAGUAUGACGAGGAAAAUUACUUCAAUUUCUUUUCAUUUGACCAAGGGCUCAACAUAACCUUAAAUCUUUUUUGAGUUUCCCUUAUAUUUUUUUUAUGGUAUUACAUAAGGAUUGAACUAUGAUUUGUUUAUCUGCAGUGGUGUUUAGAUUAGUUGGGUAACGUGCAGAUUCAUUUUAUCAAGUUUCUAUAACUAGUAAAUUCAUUUACGUGAAUUUUGAGUAUAAUUAUCUAUUUGAGUAUGAUGAGUUUUAAACCUGUUGCGUAAAUUUCUUUUCAGCUGGUAGCUGGUUUUUUGGCAUUUCUGUUGCUUAUGGAUGAUAUGAAAAGCACAACAACCAAGGGCUAGACAUAACCUUAAGUCUUUUUUGAGUUUCCCUUCUAUUAUUUUUUUAUGGUUCUACAUAAGGAUUGAACUAUGAUUUGUUUAUCUGCAGUGGUGUUUUGGAUUAGUUGGGUAAAUUUCUUUGCUCCUUUUCAGCUGGAGUUCUCUGGCAUUUCUUUCUCCUAUGGAUGAUAUGAAAAGCAGAAGGACCAAGGGCCUCGACAUAACCUAUUUUUCUGCUACGGACUAUGAUUUGUUUAUCUGCAGUGGUGUAACACGUUUCUAUACUUCUUCCUUUUAUUAAGAGCUUAGUUCGUUUUCUUGAUUUUUUUGCUGUAUAGGUAGUUCGUUUUCUUGAAUUUUUGGGCUAUACAGGGAAGGCACGGAAUGGAUGUGAAAUGAAGUAUUAUGUUUUGUUACCUUUAAGUCUUUUUUGAGUUUCCCUUCUAUUAUUUUUUUAUGGUUUUACAUAAGGAUUGAACUAUGAUUUGUUUAUCUGCAGUGGUGUUUUGGAUUAGUUGGGUAACGUUGCAUAUUCUUCUUAUCAAGUUUCUAUAAUUAGUAAAUUCAUUUAGGUCUAUAUGAGGAUGACGAGUUUUGAACCUUCUGCGUAAAUUUCUUUGCACCUUUUCAGCUGGAGUUCUCUGGCAUUUAUUUCUCCUAUGGAUGAUAUGAAAAGCAGAAGGAUCAAGGGGCUCGACAUAACCUAAGUCUUUUUUGAGUUUUAUUUCUUCUUUUUUUUCCUGGUAUUUAUGACAGUACAUAAGGAUUGAACUAUGAUUUGUUUAUCUGCAGUGGUGUUUGGAUUAGUUGGAUAACGACGCAUAUUCAUCUUACAAGUUUCUAUAACUAGUAAAUUCAUUUACGUGAAUUUUGAGUAUAAUUCUCUAUUUGAGUGUGACGAGUUUUAAACCUUUUGCCUAUCUGGUAUUGAUCACGAAAAUAAGGAUUGGACUAUGAUUUGUUUAUCUGCAGUGGUGUAACACGUCUCUAUACUUCUUCCUUUUAUUAAGAGCUUAGUUCGUUUUCUUGAAUUUUUGGGUUGUACAGGGAAGACACACAAUGGAUGUGAAAUGAAGAUUAUGUUUUGUUACCCUUAACUUUUUUAUGGGUUUAUUCGUGACUGAUCAUUUGAUUUCGUAGUCUAACUUUGUGUUUAUGUUCACUCCCCUUCAGCAAUUGGAGUUUCUGAGAUUUGAAACCCUAAAAAGUUUAAAACGGUUGCAGCUCAGGAUAUCCCAAUUCUCUCUAUCUAUUGUUUAAUUUCUCUCUACUUGAUCUCCAAGGAUUGAAUUGUGCUCGACUAUUUUACCUUAAAGUCCUGCAGCAUCUCAUGGAGUGUGUUAUGAGGCCCUAAGGGUUGAAUUGGUGUUUGAAUUAUUUUCGCCUAAUGUCCUGCAGAGUAUGUUAUGAGAUUUAAGGGUUGAAUUGUGAUUUGUUUCCUGUUUGGAUGAUUUGCAUAGUGUCCUGCAUCCUAUGGAAUAUGUAUGGUUUUCGCACGGUCAUCGCGAGUAUGUUAUGGCCACCAUCUUCCUUGGUUAUUUAAGUCUUCAAUUUAUCUUAUCGUUCUAUAGUUCAUCCUUGAUUACCAGUUAUACUUUGUUGAAUUAUUGUUCUUCACAGGGAUGUGUGGGGGUAGGACAGGGAUGUGUGGGUAGGACUUUCCUCGUGGUUGGUUGAAAAUGAUGGAUGAGUCAUGCUUGACGGUAUGAAAAACACAAUGACAAAGGGCUCGACAUAACCUAAGUCUUUUUUGAGUUUUCCUUAUAUUUUUUCUUUUUCCUGUUAUUGAUCACAGUACAUAAGGAUAUGAUUUGUUUAUCUGCAGUGGUGUUUGGAUUGGUUACGAUGCAUAUUCAUCUUACAAGUGGUGGCUGGUUUUUUGGCAUUUCUUUUACCUAUGGAUUAUAUGAAAAGCACAACGACCAAGCAUUUCUAUUAUUUUUAUGGUAUUACAUAAGGAUUGAACUAUGAUUUGUUUAUAUGCAGUGGUGUUUGGAUUAGUUGUGUAACGUCUAUGUUCAUCGAAUCAAGUUUCUGUAAUUAGUAAAUUCAUUUAGGUGAAUUCUGAGUAUAAUUCUCUAUUUGAGGAUGACGAGUUUUAUCCUUUUGCAUAAAUUUCUUCUCACCUUUUCAGUUGGUGGCUGGUUCUCUGGCAUUUCUUUUGGCUAUGGAUGAUAUGAAAAGCACAACGACCAAGGGGCUCGACAUAACCUUCAAGUCUUUUUUGAGUUUUCCUUCUAUUUUUCUUUAUCCCGGUAUUGAUCACAAUACAUAAGGAUAUGAUUUGUUUAUCUGCAGUGGUGCUUGGAUUAGUUGGGUAACGUAGCAUAUUCAUCUUAUCAAAUUUCUAUAAUUAGUAAAUUCAUUUAGGUGAAUUCUGAGUAUAAUUCUCUAUUUGAGGAUGAAGAGUUUUGAACCUUUCGCAUAAAUUUUUUUUCACCUUUUCAGCUGGUGGCUGGUUCUCUGGCUUUUUUUUUGCCUAUGGUGAUAUGAAGAGAACAACGACCAAGGGCUCAACAUAACCUAAGUCUUUUUUUAGUUUUGCUUCUAUUAUUUAUAUUUUCUGGUAUUGAUCACCUACCACAAGGAUUGUAAUAUGUUUUUUUUUAUCUGCAGUGGUGUUUGUGUAACGUCGCAUAUUCAUCUUAUCAACUUUCUAUACUUCCUCCCUCUUAUUAGCGAUUAUCUUUUCCUUCAAUUUUUGGACUGUACAGGGUUUAUCGUUUCCUUCAGUUAAAUUCGGUUUUCGUGUUCAUUCCUUUUCAGCAAGUCCCGAGUCUGAGAUUUCUUUUGGCGGUUGAGGAACUAGAGUUUAGAAUGGUUGCACAUCAGGAUAUCCUAAUUUCUCAAUGAGUGUAUCCUCUAUUAUUUUAUUUAAUCUCAGCAGCGGUGUUUAGAUGAUUUUUGCUUAUUGUACUUCAUCUCAUGAGUGUGUUAGGAGGGCGACAGUGUCUCCCUUAAUUUUUUGAUUUAUCUAAUCAUCCGUUAUAGAUUUGUUGUAUUAUUGUUCUUUAGGGAUGUGUGGGCUUAUAGUUUUGUUGAAUUAUUGUUCUUUACAGGGAUGUGUUGGGUAGGACGUGGAAACCAUGUCGGGAUAUUUCUUGAACUGUGAAUCAUUCGUUUUUUUUCCUACUCUUACACUAGUUUUUUCUAUUGCAUUAGUUUGUAUUUGGCCAACCUUGUUGGUUCGAUUUUUAUUUUUUCUUCUUAGGCAUAACCAAAUAAAUAUUGGAGGGCUAAUGAAUGUCCUAUUUUAACAUAUGAUCACGACAAAUGGUCUCUUGGCAGCUUGAUUUUAUGAUCCGUGUCUCUAUGCACUGUGACCUUAGGCACUUUGGUGGUCUCAGGCCUAGAUAAAUUGAAAAGAAGUAUCUUGGAGUCAUUCCCUUCAUUUUAGUAGUGGUAAUUAGCAAGAGCUCAGGACUAUUUGGCUCCAAUUUUUUUAUUACAAAACUUUAUUUUGUCUUAGUUUUCUUUUUUUGACAAAUGAAUUUUCGGAAACAGUGAAUGGAGGUCCAGUGAAACUUUAGGUUUUAUUAUCUUUGCAUUCAUUAUUAUUUUCUUUGCGGUUAUUCUUUUGGCUAACCUUGUGGCUAAACAUGUAGAGUGGCAGUUCUUGUAAACAGGCACUAUAUGAGUAUGAUAGGCUUUGACAUUUGUUUUGUUGUGCCUUCGAUUAUCUUCUUCUACUUGGGUUGCAGUGACUUACUAUGAGCGGUUCCCAUGGUUUUCAAUUUUUGAAUUUACCUUAACUUUUCUUUACUCUGUCAUGUCAUGCUUUUAAGAAAAUUAGUUUUCUCAAAUCCCCAUGCUUCUGGUUGAGCUUUUACAGGAAAACUAUAGAUAUAUGGGGCAGGUUUCGGAAAUAAUUAUUGGACUUUACAGGGAAUUCAUGGGCUACCCAAAAUGAGGUGUGAAUUAUGUGAUAUGUGAAGCUCAAUGUUUUUAUUAACGGUACAUUGUAGUAUCUGAAUUAAUUUUUAACUGGCUCAACUUGUUGGUUUGAUUAUAAUCUUGGUUGUAUUUUGAUGGUGUAUGGUUCAUAAGUGGCAUUGUGAGCAUGGGACAAGUGCGGUUGGACUUUAUUUUUUGAUUUGAUAGUUUGCUUCUUGGUUUGAAAAGUUUAGGAUUUAGGGUUUAUUUGACGCCUUUUGGAUAAUCCUCUGAUAUAGGUCUUUGGCUCUUUAUUAGUUUUCCAAACCUUUGAUUCAUUAUUCUUGAUGAGUAAGCAUAUGGGUUGAGUUGUUGAGGUAUGAAUUUGUUUGAAAUUGUUUCAUGUCCCUGGAGUCUUAUUUUGACUGACAGCAAUGUCUCUUACUAUGAAUGACAGUAAUCUCUGAGCCUAUUAUGUGUAUGGAAAUUUUUGAAGUCAGUAUAAUAAUAUCUCACAACUUUGGUCACAUUUCUAUUUUACAUAUAAAUUAUUAACAAAGGGAGGAGAUAAAACAAGUUGUUAUGUAGUAGUAGAAUCUAUUUCUCUUUGAAAUUAUUGUUAAGGACCUACGAGUCAAGUUUUUAUAUUUAAUUUUUUUCCUAUACCAGUCAAUGAUAUAACUCAGCCGUGAAUCUUGAUCAUUCCUUUCUAUAUAUAUACCCAAUAUCUGUUUUGUUGGUAUUGCUUCAGUUAUUGUUGUGAUUCUUUACAAGGUUUUGUGGAAUUACAUGAUGUUUGUGUCGUGGGAUAGAAGAAUUAUUAAGAAUUAUUAGUAAACCGCUUCAUGAAAUUUGAUAUUAGUUUUUUUUUUUCCUUUUUAAAAUGCAGAG
rnacentral:lncRNA from 1 species